rnacentral:rRNA from 1 species
CCUACGGGUGGCAGCAGUGAGGAAUAUUGGUCAAUGGACGAGAGUCUGAACCAGCCAAGUAGCGUGAAGGAUGACUGCCCUAUGGGUUGUAAACUUCUUUUAUAUGGGAAUAAAACGUUCCACGUGUGGGAUUUUGUAUGUACCAUAUGAAUAAGGAUCGGCUAACUCCGUGCCAGCAGCCGCGGUAAUACGGAGGAUCCGAGCGUUAUCCGGAUUUAUUGGGUUUAAAGGGAGCGUAGGUGGAUUGUUAAGUCAGUUGUGAAAGUUUGCGGCUAAACCGUAAAAUUGCAGUUGAAACUGGCAGUCUUGAGUACAAUAGAGGUGGGCGGAAUUCGUGGUGUAGCGGUGAAAUGCUUAGAUAUCACGAAGAACUCCGAUUGCGAAGGCAGUUCACUGGACUGCAACUGACACUGAGGCUCGAAAGUGUGGGUAUCAAACAGGAUUAGAUACCCCGGUAGUC